UGUGAAAGCCCCAUUGAAAACAAGGGUUAUCUUUUCCUACGGUGAACCUGGGUUUAUAUAUUCAGUCAAAAGAAGAAAAGAUUGAAAAGAUUUACAAUCAAGUGUAACAAUAAGUGGAGUUCAAUCUUUGUCGUUAUGAAAGGCCAGCAGAGAUUGAUUGGGAACAGCCAGCUCUUUCACAAGGAGUUUGCACUGUGAUUGUAUUUCAGCAAAUAAAGAAUUGCAUGACCUUCCCUUUCCAGGGUGCAAGAGGUUUGGUCGGCUGCCUGAAAGGAACCCAGGGUGCUGAAAGAAAUAGCUUAAAAACAAAAAAUCCCAUCCUUUUCACUGAUGGCAUAUGAUGACAGAGAACAGUCUGUUCUGGAGUAGAUUCUGUGGAAGUCUGGAUGAAACAACUUCCAGAGUAACUUACUUGCUGGAAAAUAUGAUUUUAAGUGACUCCUGCCUUUCAAGUUUGAUAGGAUUGAUUCUGUGAGAACGCCUGGCUUCAUUUAUGUAAUUAUCUUCAUUAAUGCCAAGAAGAUUCAAUACAGGUUGUUUGCUGGAUGCUUGUCAGUAAGGACUGCAGUGACCCAGAAGAAUUGGUGCUCAGAAGUGUCAAGCUUCUCAUUAUCCCUGCAAAAGUCAUGAAAAAUUACCUUUGGCUGGCACCAUUUCCAAAUUCUUGGAAGUGGAAGCCCUUGUUUAUUGUUCUGUUCUUCAAGAAAGUUCUACUUUGGCAUAGGAAAAGAACUAUGUGAAAUAUCAGUUGUGUCUUCAUUAGGAUGAUACAGAGGACCAUCUCAGUGAAUGAUGGACAAAAACAAAAGCUACAGGAUCCUUUGCACAGGAUCUUCAGGUCCUUCACUGCUCCUAAAUUCAAACCCUUGGUGCCCAGCUGAGGGUAUCUUUUAGUUUGGGACCUCCCUGCUUGGCACUUCUUAAAUUUUGCCUGUGAAAGACUGUAUAGAAACAGAUGUUUCUGCCUAAUGUAAC
ensembl:lncRNA